rnacentral:misc_RNA from 1 species
GCAAACUUGGUCAUUUAGAGGAAGUAAAAGUCGUAACAAGGUCUCCGUUGGUGAACCAGCGGAGGGAUCAUUACCGAGUUUACAACUCCCAUACCCAUGUGAACCUUACCUAUCGUUGCUUCGGCGGGAUGGCCCCGGGCGCCCAGCGCGCCCCGGAACCAGGCGCCCGCCGGGGGACUUACAAACUCUGUUUCUUACAGCGGUCUCUUCUGAGUGGAUUAUCACAAUAAUCAAAACUUUCAACAACGGAUCUCUUGGUUCUGGCAUCGAUGAAGAACGCAGC